rnacentral:rRNA from 1 species
UCCUACGGGAGGCAGCAGUGAGGAAUAUUGGACAAUGGUCGNGAGACUGAUCCGGCCAUGCCGUGUGCAGGAAGACGGCCCUAUGGGUUGUAAACUGCUUUUAUACGGGAAGAAUAAGGGACACGUGUGUCCUGGUGACGGUACCGUAAGAAUAAGGACCGGCUAACUCCGUGCCAGCAGCCGCGGUAAUAC